rnacentral:rRNA from 1 species
AUACGUAGGUGGCAAGCGUUAUCCGGAAUUACUGGGCGUAAAGGGUGCGUAGGUGGUUUCUUAAGUCAGAAGUGAAAGGCUACGGCUCAACCGUAGUAAGCUUUUGAAACUAAGAGACUUGAGUGCAGGAGAGGAGAGUAGAAUUCCUAGUGUAGCGGUGAAAUGCGUAGAUAUUAGGAGGAAUACCAGUUGCGAAGGCGGCUCUCUGGACUGUAACUGACACUGAGGCACGAAAGCGUGGGGAGCAAACAGGAUUAGAUACCCUGGUAGUCCACGCCGUAAACGAUGAGUACUAGCUGUCGGGGGUUACCCCCCUCGGUGGCGCAGCUAACGCAUUAAGUACUCCGCCUGGGAAGUACGCUCGCAAGAGUGAAACUCAAAUGAAUUGGCGGGG